ensembl:lncRNA
GUGUGGUAUCUCCAUAACGGUAAGCUGUGUGUUUAUCUAUUGGUGUGGUAUCUCUGUAAUGGUAAGCUGUGUGUUUAUCUCCAUUGGUGUGGUAUCUCCGUAAUGGUGAGCUGUGUGGUAUCUCCAUAAUGGUGAGCUGUGUGGUAUCUCCGUAAUGGUAAGCUGUGUGGUAUCUCCGUAAUGGUGAGCUGUGUGGUUCUCUUGGUGUUGGUAUCUGUAAUGGUAAGCUCUAGUAUCUCCAUAACGGUGAGCUCUCUAGUAUCUCCAUAAUGGUGAGCUGUGUGGUAUCUCCAUAACGGUAAGUUCUGUUUAUCUAUUGGUGUAGUAUCUCCGUAAUGGUGAGCUGUCUGGUAUCUCCUUAAUGGUAAGUUCUGUUUCUCGGUAUGCUAUCUCCGUAAUGGUGAGCUGUGUGGUUCUCUUGGUGUGGCAUCUGUAAUGGUAAGCUCUAGUAUCUCCGUAAUGGUGAGCUGUGUGUAUCUCCGUAACGGUAAGCUGUGUGUUUAACUCUUGGUGUGGUAUCUGUAAUGGUAAGCUCUAGUAUCUCCGUAAUGGUGAGCUGUGUGGUAUCUCCGUAAUGGUGAGCUCUCUAGUAUCCCCGUAAUGGUGAGCUGUGUGGUGUCUCCAUAAUGGUGAGCUGUGUGGUUAUCUCUUGGUGUGGUGUCUCCAUAAUGGUGAGCUGUGUGGUUAUCUCUUGGUGUGGUAAUGGUAAACUGUGUGGUUAUCUCUUGGUGUGGUAAUGGUAAACUGUGUGGUUAUCUCUUGGUGUGGUAAUGGUAAACUGUGUGGUUAUCUCUUGGUGUGGUAA